rnacentral:snoRNA from 1 species
GCUAAGAUGAUUAUACUUUACCCCUUUCUGUUGGUGAUAAUCAAUGAUCCUCAGAAAACAUGCAUCACCGAAUGA